rnacentral:miRNA from 1 species
AUUGGGAACAUUUUGCAUAUGU